CUUAGCAUACAAAAGUAAUCCAACAUAAGUCCAUAAUAAGCUUCAAACAUCGAUAAGCCUUUCGGCAAACAUUCUUGUCUUUUGGCGCGUGAAUUAUGUGUACACUCAGAGUAAAAUCAUUGGUAUAUAAAAUUGGGAAGCAUAGACUAAAAUUUUAUAUUUAACGCCCAGUUUUUUUUUUUUCAAACCACAUAACAUUAAAAAAAAAACACUCAGAUUAAGCAUUUCACACAAACUUUUAUUUUGUGUGAAACAAGUUUUAUUGCACGAAAUCCAAUUUAAAGAAAUUAAAAUCAGGUUUUUUAAAGAUUGGAUAAAUAUUCAAAUUGUAUUUUCAUCGAAAUAUCUUACAACAGACUACGUUUUUUUUUUUAAAUAAAUUAACAAAUUACACAUAUUACAAUCUCCUCGAAAACUUAAAAAUUUACUCUGAGUUACCAUAACUACUUAGAAAAAUUAAAAUAAAACGAUUAAACAUUUAACACAUAAGUGAAAAGGAACGUUCUGAAGUUGACGGAGCAAAACGUUACUUAAAACUAAUUCGACAUGAAAAUCUUAUUAAUUAAGUUUUAAUCGUGACUUAUGCCAAUAUUAAUAGAUCCUUUGAUUAUACGUGUUUAUAUGUAGCUAUGCCUGUACCUGUAUGCUUAGUAUAAGAUGUAAUA